AUUGAACGCUGGCGGCAUGCUUUACACAUGCAAGUCGGACGGCAGCACAGAGAAGCUUGCUUCUUGGGUGGCGAGUGGCGAACGGGUGAGUAACAUAUCGGAACGUACCGAGCAGUGGGGGAUAACUAAUCGAAAGAUUAGCUAAUACCGCAUAUUUUCUGAGGAAGAAAGCAGGGGACCUUUGGGCCUUGCGCUGUUUGAGCGGCCGAUAUCUGAUUAGCUAGUUGGUGGGGUAAAGGCCUACCAAGGCGACGAUCAGUAGCGGGCCUGAGAGGAUGAUCCGCCACACUGGGACUGAGACACGGCCCAGACUCCUACGGGAGGCAGCAGUGGGGAAUUUUGGACAAUGGGCGCAAGCCUGAUCCAGCCAUGCCGCGUGUCUGAAGAAGGCCUUCGGGUUGUAAAGGACUUUUGUCAGGGAAGAAAAGGGCGGGGUUAAUACCCCUGUCUGAUGACGGUACCUGAAGAAUAAGCACCGGCUAACUACGUG
rnacentral:rRNA from 1 species